GACGAACGCUGGCGGCGUGCCUAAUACAUGCAAGUCGAGCGAAGCGGCGGAUGGGUGAGUAACGCGUGGGUAACCUGCCCUUAAGUCUGGGAUACCAUUUGGAAACAGAUGCUAAUACCGGAUACUAAAGGAUGGACCUGCGAUGCAUUGGCUAGUUGGUAAGGUAACGGCUUACCAAGGCGCUGAUGCGUAGCGGAGUUGGGAGGCUGUUCGGCCACAUUGGAACUGAAAAACGGCCCAAACCCCUAGGGGAGGAGGCAGAGGGGAAUCUUCCACAAUGGAGGAAAGUCUGAGGGAGAACCGCGGGGUGAGUGAGAAGGGUUUUGGGAUCGUAAAGCUCUGUUUUUGGUGAGACGGUAAUCAACCAGAAAGUCACGGCUAACUACGUGCCAGCCGCCGCGGUAAUC
rnacentral:rRNA from 1 species